GGAACGCGAAGAACCUUACCAGGGUUUGACAUGCUGGUGUUACCGAUCUGAAAAGUGAGGGACCCUUCGGGGAGCCGGCACAGGUGGUGCAUGGUUGUCGUCAGCUCGUGCCGUGAGGUGUUGGGUUAAGUCCCGCAACGAGCGCAACCCCUAUCUUUAGUUGCCAUCACGUAAAGGUGGGCACUCUAGAGAGACUGCCGUCGACAAGGCGGAGGAAGGUGGGGAUGACGUCAAAUCAUCAUGGCCCUUAUGUCCAGGGCGACACACGUGCUACAAUGGCCGGCACAAAGGGAAGCGAGGGGGCGACCCGGAGCGGAUCCCAUCAAAGCCGGUCCCAGUUCGGAUUGGAGUCUGCAACCCGACUCCAUGAAGCCGGAAUCGCUAGUAAUCGCGGAUCAGCCAAGCCGCGGUGAAUACGUUC
rnacentral:rRNA from 1 species